rnacentral:lncRNA from 1 species
GUAGAUGUCCAGGAGAUGCAUCCUAGCUGCUCUAGCCACACUUGAAAAUAAUUCCAAACAACAGAUUCUUCAUCCAUGUUCCGAACCUUUGUGCAUUAGAUUUUUAAUGAGACUAUUGUCCGUUGUUUCUCAGCUAUCAGAACAAGAGUGUGAGAUUUAACCAUAAACGUUGUAUAUAUGUAUUCAACAUCAAGACACCAACAUGAUUAGUCCACAUUAUGAAACAGAAGAUAAAUUUAUCCCAAAGGAAAACAAAAGUUCAAGAUGAUCAUUUAUUGAUCAAAGUCACUGAGGCAACACUGCCAAAACAACACAACGAAGGACAGAUAGCAUUUCUCAGUACUAACCAUAUGCAUCAGGCUUCCACUAAACUUUCUACAUUGAGCUUGAAAUCGCCCUCCGGAAUAGUAUGUGCUUGUCACCUUGGAACGGGGAUAGUAGUUCUUUCAGCUUCCCUUAUAUUAUCGCAACAACCAAUAAUGUUAGUACUCAAAUUAAACUUCUUUUUUCUUAAUGGGUAUCCAGCAUCAAUGCCUGAAAAGGAUUUUUAAUAACACUUACAGUUGCACAUGAGUCCAAAUGUUGUGUAGAAGCACCUAUUUGAACAUCUUGAUCAUUAGAUACAGCAGCCUUCAACUCCAAAUGCUUAUUCAUGGCUGAUUCUUGGUGAACUUGAAUUCCACCAUUCUACAUCAC